CCUACGGGAUGCAUCAGUGGGGAAUAUUGCGCAAUGGGCGAAAGCCUGACGCAGCGACGCCGCGUGAGGGAUGAAGGUCUUCGGAUCGUAAACCUCUGUCAGCAGGGAAGAACGGUCACUGUGCUAAUCAGCCGUGAAUUGACGGUACCUGCAACGGCAGCACCGGCUAACUCCGUGCCAGCAGCCGCGGUAAUACGGAGGGUGCGAGCGUUCAUCGGAAUUACUGGGCGUAAAGCGCUCGUAGGCGGUAUGUCAAGUCAAGGGUGAAAUCCCCGCGCUCAACGUGGGAACUGCCUUUGAAACUGGCAAACUGGAGUGUGUGAGAGGAUAGUGGAAUUCCAGGUGUAGGAGUGAA
rnacentral:rRNA from 1 species